CUCAGACAGCACAUCACCAGGGAUCUCAGAGUUGUGAUGGAUGUUUCUUCUCUUCAGCUCAACACAAGAUGGAGUGUAGAAACGAGAUAACACGGAGAAAACGACUGGAGCAUCAGAAAACAGAUCGGAAAUAAAUCAACAGGACAGAGAGAAAAAUGGAGGCCAGAAAUGAGACACAAACCAGUGAAACACAAGAGAAAAGCAGACAGAUGCUUGUUAGAUGUGACAGUAUGAAGAUAAUAAAACCAAACUUCUCACGUGAUCCAGACGGACCUGUAAACCUUCAUUCUGAUGAAACUUCAGCAUGUUCUGAAGAACACACAGCAUCCCUGAGACA